GACGAACGCUGGCGGCGUGCUUAACACAUGCAAGUCGAACGGAAAGGCCCUGCUUUUGUGGGGUGCUCGAGUGGCGAACGGGUGAGUAACACGUGAGUAACCUGCCCUUGACUUUGGGAUAACUUCAGGAAACUGGGGCUAAUACCGGAUAGGAGCUCCUGCUGCAUGGUGGGGGUUGGAAAGUUUCGGCGGUUGGGGAUGGACUCGCGGCUUAUCAGCUUGUUGGUGGGGUAGUGGCUUACCAAGGCUUUGACGGGUAGCCGGCCUGAGAGGGUGACCGGCCACAUUGGGACUGAGAUACGGCCCAGACUCCUACGGGAGGCAGCAGUGGGGAAUAUUGCACAAUGGGCGGAGGCCUGAUGCAGCAACGCCGCGUGCGGGAUGACGGCCUUCGGGUUGGAAACCGCUUUCGCCUGUGACGAAGCGUGAGUGACGGUAAUGGGUAAAGAAGCACCGGCUAACUACGUG
rnacentral:rRNA from 1 species